rnacentral:rRNA from 1 species
GGGGGGGGGGGGGGGGGGGGCUAGUGGGGGCGAGUCGGGCGGACAGACGAGGGGCUUGCUCCUCUGACGUUAGCGGCGGACGGGUGAGUAACACGUGGAUAACCUACCUAUAAGACUGGGAUAACUUCGGGAAACCGGAGCUAAUACCGGAUAAUAUAUUGAACCGCAUGGUUCAAUAGUGAAAGACGGUUUUGCUGUCACUUAUAGAUGGAUCCGCGCCGCAUUAGCUAGUUGGUAAGGUAACGGCUUACCAAGGCAACGAUGCGUAGCCGACCUGAGAGGGGGAUCGGCCACACUGGAACUGAGACACGGUCCAGACUCCUACGGGAGGCAGCAGUAGGGAAUCUUCCGCAAUGGGCGAAAGCCUGACGGAGCAACGCCGCGUGAGUGAUGAAGGUCUUCGGAUCGUAAAACUCUGUUAUUAGGGAAGAACAAAUGUGUAAGUAACUAUGCACGUCUUGACGGUACCUAAUCAGAAAGCCACGGCUAACUACGUG